rnacentral:snRNA from 1 species
AUUCUUCUCUCGUAAAGUACUUG